GAGAGAUGGAAGACUCAACUUCCAUUCCAGUUUUUAUCUUCAUUAUUGCCUGAUGACAUUGAAAUAGUCAGGUCACAUGUGAUGUCAAACAAGAAUCCAUACCUUGUAUUUCGUGAAAUCCGUGUUGAUAAAUCUUUGUGGAUGGAUUUAAUAGAAAAAAAUAGUGAAGUAAUUCCAUAUAUAGAAAUGUUGCACGAACAGUGGAGGGAUGUGCCAGCUCUCGCAAGUUUCAGUUCAUAUUGAGGACCAGAGAAUGAAAUUCAUAUUAAGUUGCAAGGAAUCAAAAUGGAAGAUGAAGUUUGUGUUGGAAGUGUGAAUGAUUCAUGUAGGAUGUAUUGUAAUUUGGUUUUAUUCUAAAAACAUACUUUUACUGUCU